UUAACACAUGCAAGUCGAACGAUGAAGCCUAGCUUGCUGGGUGGAUUAGUGGCGAACGGGUGAGUAACACGUGAGCAACCUGCCCCGGACUCUGGGAUAAGCGCUGGAAACGGCGUCUAAUACCGGAUAUGAGCUCCCACCGCAUGGUGAGGGGUUGGAAAGAUUUUUUGGUCUGGGAUGGGCUCGCGGCCUAUCAGCUUGUUGGUGAGGUAAUGGCUCACCAAGGCGUCGACGGGUAGCCGGCCUGAGAGGGUGACCGGCCACACUGGGACUGAGACACGGCCCAGACUCCUACGGGAGGCAGCAGUGGGGAAUAUUGCACAAUGGGCGGAAGCCUGAUGCAGCAACGCCGCGUGAGGGAUGACGGCCUUCGGGUUGUAAACCUCUUUUAGCAAGGAAGAAGCGGAAGUGACGGUACUUGCAGAAAAAGCGCCGGCUAACUACGUGCCAGCAGCCGCGGUAAUACGUAGGGCGCAAGCGUUAUCCGGAAUUAUUGGGCGUAAAGAGCUCGUAGGCGGUUUGUCGCGUCUGCUGUGAAAUCCGGAGGCUCAACCUCCGGCCUGCAGUGGGUACGGGCAGACUAGAGUGCGGUAGGGGAGAUUGGAAUUCCUGGUGUAGCGGUGGAAUGCGCAGAUAUCAGGAGGAACACCGAUGGCGAAGGCAGAUCUCUGGGCCGUAACUGACGCUGAGGAGCGAAAGGGUGGGGAGCAAACAGGCUUAGAUACCCUGGUAGUCCACCCCGUAAACGUUGGGAACUAGUUG
rnacentral:rRNA from 1 species